UAAACAUGGACUCCUCCAGUCCCCCCCCGUCUCUCGGUGAGAGAUGGACUAUUCCAGAACUUUCCCCUGGAGUACAGAUGUAAAGAGAGCGCGUGCUAACGGUAAAGGGAAAGUGGUUAGGAUCAGUAUGAUGGAAAAAGUUUCUACAGGAACAUCAGAUAAUUCCUCCAGAUCCCAGGAGUAACAUUGUGUCUGCGCAUGCGUGUAUCACACUAAGCACAUUUCUAUGCAGAACCAAUAAAGGAACUGAUGGAGAAUUUCAGUUUCACUGUGAGACUUCAUUGUUCUGACCGGACAAACUGUAGCCUUCAGACAAACACUAAACUUCAGCAAACAACACAAACACUACAAUCAGCUUAUUUCAUGUAACCAGCAAUGAAAUAUCAUUUUAAAGAACAGGAAUAAACUUACCCAAGUUACUGGAGAGGAGAACCACAGUACGGUCAUUAUCCUCAGUGUGUACUCACAGUCUGAGACUGACCCAUAACACAUGAACUUUGAGCAGCGGAAGUGCUGCACCAAUGAUACUCCCACUCCACAAAAUACAGGAAAACAAUGAAAAAUGAAUCUCACCAGAUACACAGAUAUCACCUCAUUUUUUAGUUUGAGGAAGCUGUUUAGAAGAGUGAGAGAGUGUGGUUCUGGUUUAAUAACACCUCUAUCACAAGAAUCAGUGCUGCGGUUGUCACCUAAAACCAGGGAGAAACUGAUUUUCUAAAAUAUCACAACCAAACUCAUCACACACUACUGUAUUAAUCUUGUAAAAUAAAAUGAAGAUGCUUUAUGUUCA